rnacentral:rRNA from 1 species
UACGUAGGUGGCAAGCGUUGUCCGGAAUUACUGGGCGUAAAGCGUGCGUAGGCGGUUCGUUAAGUUCGUUGUGAAAGCCCCGGGCUCAACCUGGGAAUGGCAAUGGAAACUGGCGGGCUGGAGUAUGGCAGAGGGGGGUGGAAUUCCGCGUGUAGCAGUGAAAUGCGUAGAGAUGCGGAGGAACACCGAUGGCGAAGGCAGCCCCCUGGGCCAAUACUGACGCUCAGGCACGAAAGCGUGGGGAGCAAACAGG